rnacentral:lncRNA from 9 species
CCACGAUGUCGGGGAGUGAGAAGGGCCUUGAAGACAACGAGACGGGGAGGAAUCCAGCCUCUCGGGACAGACCACGAUGAGAGAUGGCAUAUUGCGAAAAACAACAGAGAACACAGCAGCACCCCUGCCAGCAGUAAUUCUGAUCACUCAUCUCCAUGUGGCUGAGACCCGCUAUGGGGGGAAUGCGUGUGCGGUUCAGGCGCCCAGUUGCUGUAACACCAGAAGAGCAGGGGCCUUCUGGACAGACCCACCGGGGUCUCAUGUACAGGUUGCGCUUAGUCAGGCAGCUUCUGCAGGGGCCACGCAGGACCAAGGCAUCCAAACCCAAGGGAAGCCAGGAGCGGGCGCCGGCCUGCAGACUGGAGUGAAGAGUUAGAAAAAUGCCAGGAAAACAGUGCCUGAAAGGGGGGGGCGUGUUGCCUCAGCUUCCCCAGUCAAGGAGCAGUCAGGACCUGGUGAUUCCUACACAGAAGCUGGUUGAAGGUGGAUUUUCCACCUGCUAGAGAAUCCGCACUGCCCCAUCUCACCCAUGUUGGUGACAGGGCUGACCACCAGCUUACCUUUCCCAGAAAACAGUGCUGCUUUGAAGUCCUGGGCACAGACAUUUUUUCUAAUAAAUCACAUCAGAG